GUCUGUUUUAGCUUUUCUUCCUGUUUUAGUUUUUCCUAUUAACAGUCCUGGCUGUCGUGGAACUCGCUUUUUAGACCAGGCUGCCCUCGAACCCACAGAGAUCCGCCUGCCUCUACCUCCCAAGUGCUGGCAUUAAAGGUGUGUACCACCACCGCGCGGCUUGUUUUGGCCUUUCUGACCGCAAAAGCCUAAAGGGAGCGGAUGAGCGGAAGUGGGAAACCUGCCUCCAAAUCCUCUGUUGCAGAUGCAGGCCUUGGGCAGCACGAGCACACCUGGCCCCUAGAAGCAGGCGCCUCUAGCCACGCCCUUCGCACAAGGCGUGGGCGGAGCUUCUGGCGGAAGGGCAAGGAAGGAGGAGGAGGUGACGCGGAAAGCGGGCGCCGGUUUCGCUCAGUGGCUGGGAGGAAGCUCGGCUGCCCAGCCGGCCGCGAGCAGGCCGGAGUCCCGGUCGCUGGCCGGGCUUCUCCGGGUGUGGGCGUGAGCAAGGCAGCGGUCCCGGCCGCUGCAGCGUUCGUCCAGCCAGCGCGUUAGGUGCCGGGAGCAAAGAACGUAGGUACAUUAGUUCUCAGAAGCUUCUAUGGAAAAAAGGAAUUCAGCCUUACUGAGAAAUGGAAUACUGGGUUUAGAAGCUUUAAGAAGUUCUAUUUUCCUCAAAAUGUGUGCUUUCUGAGUUAAGGCCAGUUGUUUGGGGUAGACAGUUGAAGCAUUUUCUCUUCAUAUCCAGAAAUCAUGGAUCCAGGAUGUAACUUUGUGCAAAGGCGAAGUCUGGAGUGUGUUAGUACUUUGUAUGCCAAAGUGAAAAGAAAGAACAGCA
rnacentral:lncRNA from 1 species